UCCUCUUUAGCUCAGUUGGUUAGAGCACACCCCUGAUAAGGGUGAGGUCGCUGGUUCAAGUCCAGCAAGGGGAACCA
rnacentral:tRNA from 4 species